rnacentral:rRNA from 1 species
CCUACGGGGGGCAGCAGUGAGGAAUAUUGGUCAAUGGGCGCGAGCCUGAACCAGCCAAGUCGCGUGAGGGAAGACGGUCCUAUGGAUUGUAAACCUCUUUUGUCGGGGAGCAAAAGACGCCACGCGUGGCGUUCCGAGAGUACCCGAAGAAAAAACAUCGGCUAACUCCGUGCCAGCAGCCGCGGUAAUAGGGAGGAUGCGAGCGUUAUCCGGAUUUAUUGGGUUUAAAGGGUGCGCAGGCGGAAGAUCAAGUCAGCGGGAAAAUUGAGAGGCUCAACCUCUUCGAGCAGUUGAAACUGGUUUUAUUGAGUGGGCGAGAAGUAUGCGGAAUGCGUGGUGUAGCGGUGAAAUGCAUAGAUAUCACGCAGAACUCCGAUUGCGAAGGCAGCAUACCGGCGCUCAACUGACGCUCAUGCACGAAAGUGUGGGUAUCGAACAGGAUUAGAUACCCUUGUAGUC